UCAAGAAACUUCCACAAUGGGCGAAAGCCUGAUGGAGCGACGUCGCGUGAUGGACGAAGUGCUUCGGCACGUAAACAUCUUUUAUGUGGGAUGAAAUUAUUGACAGUACCACAUGAAUAAGGGGCUCCUAACUCUGUGCCAGCAGGAGCGGUAAUACAGAGGCCCCAAGCGUUAUCCGGAAUCACUGGGCGUAAAGGGUGUCGAGGCGGUUGUAUUAGUCGUUCGUAAAAUCUACGAGCUUAACUUGUAGGCGGCGAACGAAACGGUACGACUUGAGGUUUGGAGAGGUGCGUGGAACUCACGGUGUAGGGGUGAAAUCCGUUGAUAUCGUGGGGAACACCAAAGGCGAAGGCAGCGCACUGGCUAAAAUCUGACGCUCACACACGAAAGCUAGGGUAGCGAAGAGGAUUAGAUACCCCCGUAGUCCCUGAGCGGGCUGGCAAGGCGCAU
rnacentral:rRNA from 1 species